rnacentral:pre_miRNA from 1 species
CAAGUACUCCCUCCGUCCGGAAUUACUUGUCAUCAAAAUGGAUGUGUCUAGAACUAAAAUACAUCUAGAUACAUCCAUUUCAAUGACAAAUAUUUUCAGACGGAGAGAGUACAUG